rnacentral:lncRNA from 13 species
CCUUCCAACAACUGUGCAUGUGAGCUUGAGCUUGGAAGUGGAUCUUACCUCGGUUGAGCUUUUAGAAUCGAAGACCUCAAAAUGGAAGUGAGGACAUUCCGGCAACCUGGGUGAAUCCUGGACUAUCUGCAUGGAAUUUUGUGGCCACGUGAAAGGUCUCACUCUGUUGCCCAGGAUGGAGUGCAGUGCAUGAUCAUGGCUCACUGUAGCCUUGACUUCCGGAGCUCAGCAGGAGACUCUUUCUGUAGCCACCACCACUGGGAAUGUGCUGGGUCAUACCUGAAGCCAAUACAUCUCUGAGUCUCAUCCAAAGCCCAUGGUUCAUGCUGCCAAACACCAGAGGACCGAUAAACUGAGCCUUGAUAUCUCCUUCAGGUAAACAAAUAUUGUGGGCAGAUUCCCAUCAGGAUAAUUGGGUGUGCAGGUUGUUGAAAUGGCUUUGAUAAAUUUGACACCAGGAAA